UUUGACACGCAUGUGAGUACAUGCACCCCAUUAGAAAAUAGAAUAGCAGAAGAAAAAAACGUUAAUAAUAAAUGUGAUUAAUAAUACGAUAAUAAAAAAGAAAUAAAAAAUAUAAAAAUAAAUGUAAAGAAUAGACAGUAAAACAAUCAGGAUUACCAUGCAUGACUUACAAUCGGGAUUAUCCUAAAAUGAGAUUUUCCGGGUCUAAAAUGCACUCUAGUAGUGUGUCUAUUAGUAUAUACACACAACGGUUGGUAGGUCAACAUGGAAUUGUUAGUCUAAUUUUGUCAUGAGUUAACCAUAAUCGUAUUACAGAUUAUUUUUCAUAAAAUUUGCGGAAAAAACUAGGGGAUGUAAAGGUAAGAGGAAAGAGAAAUAUUUUAGAAAUAUGAAAAAAAAAAAAUUGGGAUGUAAAGUGUAAAAAAUGUGAAUAGUUUGGGCUUAAUUGGGUGACUCGUUUUGUAUGGCUGGAAGCCUGAUUGCCUGAAACAGUUGUUGAUUGGCCAACGUGAGCAUCAAGAGAUCCUACAUUUCCUGCAAAGUAUGAACUACUUCUAUUAAUUUGAACGAGCUUCAUACUGAUAAAAAAAAAUUUUAAAAAAAAGAGCUUCCAAGAAUUACUCUAAAAUUGGACAGCCAGAAGAGUUAAAAAUAGAAGCAUUUGAACUAUAGGAAAUAAUGUGUUUAAUGUGGGUGGAGAUGCACGAUUAAUUAGUAAUUACCCUCUCCAUGUAAAUACAGCUGAAUCUUUUUAGCCACUUAUGAGAAGAAUAUCAGGUACAGGAAGGCUCUUGCCAAUGUACAGUAUAUGGUUGCCUUAGUACCUGCAAAUCAAAUU
rnacentral:lncRNA from 1 species